UACGAAGGGGGCUAGCGUUGUUCGGAAUUACUGGGCGUAAAGGGUUUGUAGGCGGUUAUACAAGUCAGGGGUGAAAGCCUGGGGCUUAACCUCAGAAUUGCCAUUGAAACUGUAUAGCUUGAGAGUGUUAGAGGAAAGUGGAAUUCCUAGUGUAGGAGUGAAAUCCGUAGAGAUUAGGAGGAAUAUCGAUGGCGAAGGCAGCUUUCUGGGACAUUUCUGACGCUGAGAAACGAAAGCGUGGGUAGCAAACAGG
rnacentral:rRNA from 1 species